CCGAGCGGGCCGCCCCCACUUCUCGCGAGAGGUUCGCGCCAAGAAGGUUCUCAGAGGCGGAAGUGGGGUAGCGGAAGCGGCGUUGCCAUGGAGUCAGCGGAGGACUGGCUGGUGGAAUCCUUGCGCUUGUACCAAGAUUUCCAUGCAUUCGACCUUUCCGAAGCCACACGAGUCCUUGAAUGGAUUGAUGACAAAGGAGUCUGUGUUGCUGGCUAUGAGAGCCUGAAAAAAAAUGAGAUUCUUCAUCUGUUAUUACCUCUCAGACUUUCUGUAAAAGAAAACCAGGGCUUAUUCCCAGAAAGAGAUUUCAAGGUACGCCACGGAGGAUUUUCAGACACGUCUGUCUUUGAUCUGAAGCACGUGCUGGACACCAGGUUGCUGGUAACCAGUGGUCUUCCAGGUUGUCACCUGCAUGUGUGGCAGGUGACAGAGGACAGUGACGUCAUUCAAGCUGUCAGCACCAUUGCCGUGCAGGAGGAGGAGGGGAGUCUCUGGCCUAGGGUGGCCAUCUUCUCUUCGAUGGCCCCCGGAGUCCUGCACGGGGCGAGGCUCCGCGGUCUGAAGGUUGUGGAUCUGGAAACUCAGAAGACCACGUACUCCUCAGGGGUCGGCGACAGUGAGGAGCUGAGCAGCCUGCAGGUCCUGGACGCAGAUACCUUUGCCUUCUGCUGUGCCUCGGGCCGGCUGGGGCUCGUUGACAUCCGCCAGAAGUGGGCGCCGUCAGAGAAUGCCGGCCCCGGCCCCGGGGCCGCUGCAAGGAGGUGGUGUGCUGAAGUUGGGGGCCGACGCCGGGGCCCUGGGCCCAGCAUUGCCAGCCUUGGCUCAGACGGGCAGCUCUGUCUCCUUGAUCCCCGGGAUCUCUGCCACCCUGUGAGCUCGGGGCGGUGCCCCGUGUCCGCACCGAGCCCCGCCCCAGAGCUGCUGCGAGUGACCUGGGCUCCAGGCCUGGACGACUGCCUGGCCAUUUCAGGUUUUGAUGGGACAGUCCAGGUCUAUGAUGCCACAUCUUGGGACGGAACGGGGGGCCAAGUAGAACCUGUCUUCACUCACAGAGGUCACAUCUUCCUGGAAGACAAUCAGACAGAUACUGCGCCACUGGUCACUACCCACACCUGGCACCCCCACAAGCCGAGGACCUUGUUAUCGGCAGCAAGCGACGCCUCUCUGCACGUGUGGGACUGGGUGGACCACCGUGCGGCCUGCUGACUCCAGCCUCUCCCUGCCCAGGCCUCUAAGAAGAGAAGGAGCUACCGGAAAGCCAAGGACCAGAGGACCAGAUGUGACAGGAGCUCGUCCGUAGGGGAGCGCAGAGGGGCAGCCAGCAGGAGUCUGCACCUGCAGCAUAAAGCAGAGGGGACGGAACCAGGAUGGAUCUGAAGAUGGAAGGCUGGCACCACAUCUAAACCUGUAUGAAUUAAGGAAGAAAAAGGAAAAAAAGAAAAUAGGACAAAGACUGUAAAAGACUACUGUGUACAAUUACAUGUUAAUUUGAAAAUCUCAAGAUACUGUUAAUUUUCUUUUUUUAUGUUUAUGUUUUGAGAGAGCAUAAGUGGGGGAGGGGCAUACCGAGGGGGAAAGAGGACCCAGAGUGGGCUCCAUGCUAACAGCGGUGAGCCCGAUGUGGGGCUCGAACUCACAAAUCAUGAGAUCAUGACCUGAGCCGAAGUCAGACUCUCGACCGACUGAGCCACCCAGGUGCCCCGAUACUGUUAAUUUUCUUAAAAACAUAGAUAUUUAUAAACUACUAGUUUAGUAGAAAUUUGAAAUUACCCAAUACUCAAGAAGGAAAAACUGGGAUGCCCGGGUGGCUCAGUUGGUUAAGUGUCCAACUCUUGAUCUUGGCAUAGGUCAUGGUCUCACGGCUCAUGAGAUCAAGCCCCACAUAGGACUCUACGCUGACAGCACGGAGCCUGCUUGGGAUUCUCUCUGUCCCUUUCCCACUCUGUCUUUCUCUCUCUCAAUAAAUAUAUAUAUUUUUAAGUUUAAAUAAAC